rfam:Streptomyces ambofaciens ATCC 23877, complete genome.
GGCCAAGUUUUUAAGGGCGCACGGUGGAUGCCUUGGCACCAGGAACCGAUGAAGGACGUGGGAGGCCACGAUAGUCCCCGGGGAGCCGUCAACCAGGCUUUGAUCCGGGGGUUUCCGAAUGGGGAAACCCGGCAGUCGUCAUGGGCUGUCACCCGCUGCUGAACACAUAGGCAGUGUGGAGGGAACGCGGGGAAGUGAAACAUCUCAGUACCCGCAGGAAGAGAAAACAACCGUGAUUCCGGGAGUAGUGGCGAGCGAAACCGGAUGAGGCCAAACCGUAUACGUGUGAGACCCGGCAGGGGUUGCGUGUGCGGGGUUGUGGGAUCUCUCUUUCACAGUCUGCCGGCUGUGAGGCGAGUCAGAAACCGUUGAUGUAGGCGAAGGACAUGCGAAAGGUCCGGCGUAGAGGGUAAGACCCCCGUAGUCGAAACAUCAGCGGCUCGUUUGAGAGACACCCAAGUAGCACGGGGCCCGAGAAAUCCCGUGUGAAUCUGGCGGGACCACCCGCUAAGCCUAAAUAUUCCCUGGUGACCGAUAGCGGAUAGUACCGUGAGGGAAUGGUGAAAAGUACCGCGGGAGCGGAGUGAAAUAGUACCUGAAACCGUGUGCCUACAAGCCGUGGGAGCGUCGGACAUCAAGCUUGCUUGGUGUCUCGUGACUGCGUGCCUUUUGAAGAAUGAGCCUGCGAGUUUGCGGUGUGUUGCGAGGUUAACCCGAGUGGGGAAGCCGUAGCGAAAGCGAGUCCGAAUAGGGCGUUUCAGUAGCACGCUCAAGACCCGAAGCGGAGUGAUCUAGCCAUGGGCAGGUUGAAGCGGAGGUAAGACUUCGUGGAGGACCGAACCCACCAGGGUUGAAAACCUGGGGGAUGACCUGUGGUUAGGGGUGAAAGGCCAAUCAAACUCCGUGAUAGCUGGUUCUCCCCGAAAUGCAUUUAGGUGCAGCGUCGUGUGUUUCUUGCCGGAGGUAGAGCACUGGAUAGGCGAUGGGCCCUACCGGGUUACUGACCUUAGCCAAACUCCGAAUGCCGGUAAGUGAGAGCGCGGCAGUGAGACUGUGGGGGAUAAGCUCCAUGGUCGAGAGGGAAACAGCCCAGAGCAUCGACUAAGGCCCCUAAGCGUACGCUAAGUGGGAAAGGAUGUGGAGUCGCACAGACAACCAGGAGGUUGGCUUAGAAGCAGCCACCCUUGAAAGAGUGCGUAAUAGCUCACUGGUCUAGUGAUUCCGCGCCGACAAUGUAGCGGGGCUCAAGCGUACCGCCGAAGUCGUGUCAUUCAUACAUUAGGGCCAACGCCUGUAUGGAUGGGUAGGGGAGCGUCGUGUGCCGGGUGAAGCAGCCGCGGAAGCGAGUUGUGGACGGUUCACGAGUGAGAAUGCAGGCAUGAGUAGCGAUACAAACGUGAGAAACGUUUGCGCCGAUUGACUAAGGGUUCCUGGGUCAAGCUGAUCUGCCCAGGGUAAGUCGGGACCUAAGGCGAGGCCGACAGGCGUAGUCGAUGGAUAACCGGUUGAUAUUCCGGUACCCGCUGUGAAGCGUCAAACAUCGAGCAUCGUGAUGCUAAGGCCGUGAAGCCGCCCUGAUCUCUUCGGAGUUGAGGGGAGUGGUGGAGCCGCCGGACCAAGCGGUUAGUAGGUGAGUGAUGGGGUGACGCAGGAAGGUAGUCCAUCCCGGGCGGUGGUUGUCCCGGGGUAAGGGUGUAGGCCGUGCGGUAGGUAAAUCCGUCGCACACAAGGCUGAGACCUGAUGCCGAGCCGAUUGUGGUGAAGUGGAUGAUCCUAUGCUGUCGAGAAAAGCCUCUAGCGAGUUUCAUGGCGGCCCGUACCCUAAACCGACUCAGGUGGUCAGGUAGAGAAUACCGAGGCGUUCGGGUGAACUAUGGUUAAGGAACUCGGCAAAAUGCCCCCGUAACUUCGGGAGAAGGGGGGCCACACCUGGUGAUGAUCUUUACGGUCUGAGCUGGGGGUGGCCGCAGAGACCAGCGAGAAGCGACUGUUUACUAAAAACACAGGUCCGUGCGAAGCCGUAAGGCGAUGUAUACGGACUGACGCCUGCCCGGUGCUGGAACGUUAAGGGGACCGGUUAGCUCCAUUUCGGUGGGGCGAAGCUGAGAACUUAAGCGCCAGUAAACGGCGGUGGUAACUAUAACCAUCCUAAGGUAGCGAAAUUCCUUGUCGGGUAAGUUCCGACCUGCACGAAUGGCGUAACGACUUCUCGACUGUCUCAACCAUAGGCCCGGUGAAAUUGCACUACGAGUAAAGAUGCUCGUUUCGCGCAGCAGGACGGAAAGACCCCGGGACCUUUACUACAGUUUGAUAUUGGUGUUCGGUUCGGCUUGUGUAGGAUAGCUGGGAGACUUUGAAGCUCGCACGCCAGUGUGGGUGGAGUCGUCGUUGAAAUACCAGUCUGGUCGUGCUGGAUGUCUAACCUGGGUCCGUGAUCCGGAUCAGGGACAGUGUCUGAUGGGUAGUUUAACUGGGGCGGUUGCCUCCUAAAGAGUAACGGAGGCGCCCAAAGGUUCCCUCAGCCUGGUUGGCAAUCAGGUGUUGAGUGUAAGUGCACAAGGGAGCUUGACUGUGAGACCGACGGGUCGAGCAGGGACGAAAGUCGGGACUAGUGAUCCGGCGGUGGCUUGUGGAAGCGCCGUCGCUCAACGGAUAAAAGGUACCCCGGGGAUAACAGGCUGAUCUUCCCCAAGAGUCCAUAUCGACGGGAUGGUUUGGCACCUCGAUGUCGGCUCGUCGCAUCCUGGGGCUGGAGUCGGUCCCAAGGGUUGGGCUGUUCGCCCAUUAAAGCGGUACGCGAGCUGGGUUUAGAACGUCGUGAGACAGUUCGGUCCCUAUCCGCUGUGCGCGUAGGAGUCUUGAGAAGGGCUGUCCCUAGUACGAGAGGACCGGGACGGACGAACCUCUGGUGUGCCAGUUGUCCUGCCAAGGGCAUGGCUGGUUGGCUACGUUCGGGAGGGAUAACCGCUGAAAGCAUCUAAGCGGGAAGCCUGCUUCGAGAUGAGGACUCCCACCCCCUUGAGGGGUUAAGGCUCCCAGUAGACGACUGGGUUGAUAGGCCGGAUCUGGAAGCACCGCAAGGUGUGGAGGUGACCGGUACUAAUAGGCCGAGGGCUUGUCCUC